GUGGGUGUAGUAUAGUGGUCAGUACUUCUCGUUGUGGUGUAACACAGCGAUCCGAGAGGACCCAGGUUCGAUUCCUGGCACCCACA